GAUGAAGGACGUAGCGAAAUGCGAUAAGUAAUGUGAAUUGCAGAAUUCAGUGAAUCAUCGAAUCUUUGAACGCACAUUGCGCCCCCUGGUAUUCCGGGGGGCAUGCCUGUUCGAGCGUCAUUUCACCACUCAAGCCUCGCUUGGUAUUGGGCGACGCGGUCCGCCGCGCGCCUCAAAUCGACCGGCUGGGUCUUCCGUCCCCUCAGCGUUGUGGAAACUAUUCGCUAAAGGGUGCCGCGGGAGGUCACGCCGCAAAACAACCCCAUUUCUAAGGUUGACCUCGGAUCAGGUAGGGAUACCCGCUGAACUUAAGCAUAUCAAUAAGCGGAGGA
rnacentral:misc_RNA from 1 species